UACGAAGGGGGCUAGCGUUGCUCGGAAUCACUGGGCGUAAAGCGCACGUAGGCGGAUCUUUAAGUCAGGGGUGAAAUCCCAAGGCUCAACCUUGGAACUGCCUUUGAUACUGGGGAUCUCGAGUCCGGAAGAGGUUGGUGGAACUGCGAGUGUAGAGGUGAAAUUCGUAGAUAUUCGCAAGAACACCGGUGGCGAAGGCGGCACUCUGGCCCGCAAGUUCGACUGCGUGACGGCGCGGAAAGCAUGGG
rnacentral:rRNA from 1 species